UGAAUUUAAAGGUCAACAAUAUCACAGCUUUGGAACCUCACAAUCAAAAGGAGUCUCAAUCUUCAUAAAUAAUGAGAUAGAUUGUAAAUUUAUAGAUAAAUUUCAAGAUGAGGAAGGCAGGUUAAUCCUUUUAAAUAUUGAAAUUGAAGACAGUAUAUAUACCUUGGUAAAUAUUUAUGCACCAAACAUACCCAAAAAAAGAAAUGUCUUCUUUAAAAAAGUUAAAGAUGUUAUAACUAAAAAUAGCUUAGGAAUGGUCAUUAUAGGAGGAGACAUGAAUGACACCUUAACUAAUAUAGACAACAAGCAUAAUAUGUCAAAAAAGUCCUUUAAAGAAAAAAAAGCUGUACCCAGCUUAAAAUCUUUAAUAAAAACGCAUAAGUUAAGUGAUAUAUGGCGAGAAAUACAUGGUAAAAAAAUACAAUUUACUUGGAGAAGGAAAAAUAACAUCAAUGAAGCAUCAAGAAUUGAUUUCUUUUUAACCUGUCCUGAAAUACGAACUCAAAUAGAAUCAACAGACAUAAGACCAGCCAUUAUAACCCAUACAGAUCAUCAAGCAAUAUCUCUUAUGAUAAACUGUAGAUCACAACAAAAAGGAAAAAGGAUAUUUUAAAAUAAAUAAUAGUGUUUUAGAAAAUAAUGAGUAUCAAAACAUAAUUAAAAAACUUAUAAAACAGUAUGAAUGUAAAGUAUUACUUACCAACGACGUUGGGCUUCAAUGGGAUCUCUUUAAAACAGAGGUGCGAGACUAUACUAUAGCAUUCUGUAAAAGGAAAGCACAAAACAAUGUAAAAGAAAUAAACAUUUUAGAAAAUAAACUUAAAAAAUUAAAUGAAUGUAUAAAUUUGAAGUGCCAAGAAGAUGUUAUUGCCUAUUUCAAUGAUGAAAUCAAUAAAUUAGAAAACAAACUUAGUAAUUUAUAUGAAGCGAAAACUAAAGGGGCACAAAUUAGAUCUAGAAUUAAGUGGGUGGAAGAAGGGGAAAAAAAUACAAAAUUCUUUUUAGGAUUAGAAAAAUCUAGGCAAACAAAAAAAACAAUAACAGCCCUUAAAGAUAAAGAUGGGGAGAUACACAGAGAUCCUACAAAAAUAUUGCAACUUGAAAGAGAAUUUUAUCAAGAUAUAUACAAAAGUUCAAACCCUAACAUAACUUAUAUUAAAGAUUACAUUAUGAAUACAGAAAUUGAUCAUAAAUUAACCAAUAAAGAAAGUGAAAGUAUGGAAGGUCUAUUAAGUAUCCAGGAAUGCACAGAAUCUCUAUUUAAAAUGAAACUCAAUAAAGCCCCAGGCAUUGAUGGUUUAAGUGUAGAGUUUUACAAGAUAUUUUGGGAAGAUCUGAAAGAAUUUGCUGUUAAUACAUUCAAUUUUUCAUAUGAAAAAGGGGAGUUAACUAAUUUACAAAAAAUAGGAGUUAUUUCCCUUCUACAUAAAAAAAAUGACCCACUAUCUUUAGAUAACUAUAGGCCAAUAACAUUAUUAAAUGUAGAUACAAAGAUUGUAGCUCAGUCAUUAGCACAAAGAAUUAGUAAAAUAUUACCACAAAUUAUUCAUGGGGAUCAAAAUGGGUAUGUAAAAAAUAGAUAUAUUGGAUAUAACAUUAGACAAAUUCAAGAUAUCAUUGAUUUUGCAGAAAAAUUCAACAU
rnacentral:lncRNA from 1 species